UUAGUAUAUGUGCUGCUGAAGCGAGCACAACAUACGUGAUUCCUCAAAUGAAAAUUAUUUAUUAAAUAGAACCUUUGAGAUGUUUUUGCAAAGUUUUACUUUUAAUGCCAAACAAGACACUUUCAAUGUGUGGUAAUUACUAACAUCCAUGUCCCUAGUACUACUGUGGUUUCUUUCCUUACUCAGAAAAAAAAGCACUUUUUAAAAAAAAUCUCUCAUCGAGAGGGUCUGUGGCAGCUGUUUCGGACUGAUUCCUUCCAUCCUGUCCCACUGAGCAGCUGCCGCCCCCUCCAAAGCGGUGGGGUCACAAAGUAUCACUUCCUGUGUAGGCGCUGCCCACCCAUACUGCUCACCCGUCGGAGGCGGAGACAGUCCACCUUAAAAAUGCUUCAGUUCAAAUUCAGAAGCCAAACUUCCAUGCGCAUAAUGCCAAGGAGGCAUCAAUGUCAAAAAAAAGAGAAACUAAGACAAAACCAGUCCAUUGUAAUGGAGGAAGCCCUUCAUAUGUAUUAUCAAAAAAUGAUGAUGUGUUCUGACUCCUUGCAUUGCCAACUUACCUCCACCCUGCCCUCCUCUGACGACGGGUGUGUCCAACAAGAGCCUAAGGCGCAGCCACAAGCUUCACCCGGGCCCUUCUGGCCGUGCAGAAGGCCCAGCCUCGCUGCUUAGUCACAAGCUGGGCACCUGCUGGUGCCUGCUGCAGGCCCACACCUUGCCAUCAGCCCACGUCCUUGAGGAGCAGCCCUGUCCCUCUGUGACCCAUCCUGUGAGCAGUGUUAAACUAUGAAAGUGGGAAUGCGCUGGCCCUGCGGGCUGACAGCAUGCUCCAUGUUCUUAAAGCGCUCCUCAGACUUGGUGGCGGGCCCUGGACCAUCUUAGCUUUGGGCCUGGACAGGAACUAUUCCAAACGAUGUUAGUGACAAUUAAUAACAUGAGGACCAAGGAGUUCCCUGUUGCUCUUCUGUGAUUCGGGGCUCUUUGUAGAGCAGGGCAACGGGAGAAGGCAGCCCCACCUGCUGGCACUGCUAUGCCACCCCUGUCCUGGCCCUGAGCAGUGUCCCCAUCCAAUCCAGCGGUGGGUCCCUUUCUGGGAAAAGCAGAUGCAUCUUAAGUAACAGCAAGUUUCCAGAAGGCUCUCGAUACUUGUAAACCCCUGUGGAGGUUAUUUCAGAAAUUCACAUUCCCUGCACAUGGGUUACCUGGGUAAUUGAUUUUUUAGAAAUAAUAUGUUGUUAAGGAAAGGUGUUUUUCAUUGUAUUCUGUUUGUAGAUUUUAUGCAAUGUUAUGUUGAAAUUUUACAAGCCAAGUUCAAACUGUACUGUAGAAGUUACUUUUAUAUGAUUUUGAGAACAUACCACAGAGCAGUAUUUACACCCAGGGAACUGGAGGUGGGAAGGGGCGCCGCUGUG
rnacentral:lncRNA from 1 species